AUUGAACGCUGGCGGCAGGCCUAACACAUGCAAGUCGAGCGGUAGCACAGAGAGCUUGCUCUCGGGUGACGAGCGGCGGACGGGUGGGUAAUGUCUGGGAAACUGCCUGAUGGAGGGGGAUAACUACCGGAAACGGUAGCUAAUACCGCAUAACGUCGCAAGACCAAAGAGGGGGACCUUCGGGCCUCUUGCCAUCAGAUGUGCCCAGAUGGGAUUAGCUAGUAGGUGGGGUAACGGCUCACCUAGGCGACGAUCCCUAGCUGGUCUGAGAGGAUGACCAGCCACAAUGGAACUGAGACACGGUCCAGACUCCUACGGGAGGCAGCAGUGGGGAAUAUUGCACAAUGGGCGCAAGCCUGAUGCAGCCAUGCCGCGUGUAUGAAGAAGGCCUUCGGGUUGUAAAGUACUUUCAGCGGGGAGGAAGGUGUUGAGGUUAAUAACCUCAGCAAUUGACGUUACCCGCAGAAGAAGCACCGGCUAACUCCGUGCCAGCCGCCGCCGUAA
rnacentral:rRNA from 1 species